UCACAGGAGGUCCCAAAGGUCCUAGUCUUAUGAGCCUCCUCUCUUCCUUCUCACUGAGCCAUGGCCUGUGUCAUGGGGCACAGCUAAACAUCUCACUCAAUAUCCAACUCAACAAAGGAAAGGCGGGCUUUCAGACAGGGUCCCCCAGUGGUUUGGGACAGUGUGGUCAUGAGCCAUUGGAAGAAGACAAAGGAGCUCACUUAAGGGCUCACACACCACAUCUCGGGGACAGGCCACUGGGUGACAGCACAGGUGUGAUCUACAAGCAGCUGAGGACAAAGCCCCGGAGAAGUCCAGGUGACAGACAAUUCAGGAAUUUCUUCUGGGAGCCCCAAGGAUCCCUGUGCCCAGACUUCAGCUUGAAUAUAAAAGCUCCGAGGAAAGUUGUCCAAGUGGUGUGUUCUUUUUUUUCAAGAGCAAACACCUCAUCAAUAAGAGCUGGCAUUAAAAUACACUAAAGUAAUUGAUCUUGGGAAUAAUGAGGACAAAACAUUGGAUGAUCCAACUUCUCCACCUACAGCUAAGAUGCACUGUUGUUAUGACAGCGGGGGAGGAAAUGUGUGGCGGCUGCUGGAGCCGUUAUAGGCAAGUAAAAUGUGUUCUCAGACGUACAAAUUAUUUUAACCUCCCUGGAAGACUGACCAAGAGGCCAGGAAUGCUGGACUGAUAGUAAUUAUGGGGAAGAGAUCCAGGUUUCUGCAUUUCAGGUGUUUCUCCCACCCGCGGGCUCCCCCAAGUGCUAUCCAAACAGACGUCAAGAGAGGUUGAAGGGGCCGAAGGUGGCAAAAUGUAAUCAGAACAAAAAAGUAAAAGAAUCAAGAAAUAAAAAGAGGAGGAAGGGAAGGGGAAUGCAUUUCCAUUCCUGAAAAAUGGAUUUCUCAUAUAAAGAAAUAGUUUCACCUCCGUGAUCAGACACUGAAUCGAGCCUCCUGUGAAUGUUGCUGCGAGGCUGCUGUGCACUCUGCGGAGGGGGAUCUGGUGAAGGACCAUGGGUGAGAAUAGAGGGACGGGCUCCCCACCCUGCAGGUGGUGUGAGCGUUGCAGUAGAGGGCCAUCCUCCAUGCCCAAGCCAUUGUGCCAAGCCCCUCAUUUGGGACUUUUGUUUCCUCUGCACUCUCUCUCUCUCCCUGUGGACUUGGCAUUCUAGAGCGAGGCUGCCUGGCUCGAGGGGUGAAUUUCUGUUGUCUUGCUUCCUCACCCUGAGAGAGGGACCACUGUGUCCACUGCCACCCUGGCCCCAGCCCCUGAAUAAGGGCCCUGUACCCUCGCUGACUUGACAUGACCUGUAAGUGACAUGACUUUCACUUCCCCUUAUGAGGCAGCCUCUACUCCCGGAGCCUAGAGAGGGUCUCUGCUUGUGCCCGGCAGAGACAGCGUGCAUGGAUCGGGGUGGGCUGGGGACAUGAUGCUGGUGUACAAGAAUUCUGACAUUAUCCUCUCCAAGGUCAGGCUGCCGUGUGCUAACCAGCUGCAGUUUUGAGCAUAGCGGGGGCCCUAAAGGGGCGAGAUAAAGGCAAGAGAGUAAAGGAGCUUGCAGAGAUCCAGCACCGCUGGCAAUGGUCUCAGCCAGCUGAAGAGGGGUGGGUGAAGGGACUGUUUUCAGAAGCAGGAGGAUGGGGAGCCCAUUAUGAUGUGGGGUUCCAAAGGGUUCUGAUUGGAGCUGCAGCCACAGGGCAACCAGCUCCUGCAGAGCCACGCCAGGUAUGAAGAGCAGAGGAGCACCAACACUCCAACCUCUCCCUCCUGCCCUCCCAGGAUCUUGGCCAGGGGCUCCCUUUGGCUGGAUCCAAUCAGAAGCCAGAGGACAAGGAAGCCCAGUGAGGCGGCCCCUAGAAGUCAGCCUUCUGGGCACAGAGCCUGGCAGAGGAGGGUGGAUAAGAGACGCGCAGCCUUUAAAAGGGGACCUGUGGAUGACUUGGGGCUCGGCAAAGAAAAGGGAGUGUCUUUGAUGACCUUGCAUGAAAAUUCCCCUAAAAUAGGCAGCAGUCAGCAGUGAAGGAAGCCUUUGGAGCAGGGGCAUCUGGAAGCAGCGAAAGUGGACACAGACAGAGAGGGAGCAUGUCAGGUGUGUCUUAGAAGCAGAAUAUCUUCGGAUUUGGAAAAAAAAAUUAAUCCAAGCUUGCCCUUCUGAGGAGCAAUUUAAUCCACGUGCGUUUACGUAACAUGAAAUAAAUCUGAUCCAUGUAUGG